rnacentral:rRNA from 1 species
UGCCAGCAGCCGCGGUCAUACGGAGGGUGCAAGCGUUGUUCGGAAUUACUGGGCGUAAAGCGCACGUAGGCGGCUUUUUAAGUCAGAUGUGAAAGUCCACGGCUCAACCGUGGAAAUGCAUUUGAAACUGGAAAGCUUGAGUAUCAGAGGGGAUGGUGGAAUUCCCGGUGUAGAGGUGAAAUUCGUAGAUAUCGGGAGGAAUACCGGUGGCGAAGGCGACCAUCUGGCUGAAACUGACGCUGAGGUGCGAAAGCGUGGGGAGCAAACAGGAUUAGAUA